CUUCCAGUAGCACCUUAGAGACCAACUAAGUUUGUUAUUGGUAUGCAGAUAUCUGAAGAAGUGUGCAUGCACACGAAAGCUCAUGCCAAUAUCAAAACUUAGUUGGUCUCUAAGGUGCUACUGGAAG